AGCGAACGCUGGCGGCAUGCCUAACACAUGCAAGUCGAACGAACCUUUCGGGGUUAGUGGCGGACGGGUGAGUAACACGUGGGAACGUUCCUUUAGGUUCGGAAUAACUCAGGGACACUUGUGCUAAUACCGAAUGUGCCCUUCGGGGGAAAGAUUUAUAGCCUUUAGAGCGGCCCGCGUCUGAUUAGCUAGUUGGUUGAGGUAAUGGCUCACCAAGGCGACGAUCAGUAGCUGGUCUGAGAGGAUGAUCAGCCACACUGGGACUGAGACACGGCCCAAACUCCUACGGGAGGCAGCAGUGGGGAAUCGUGCGAAAUGGGCGAAAGCCUGACGCAGCCAUGCCGCGUGAAUGAUGAAGGUCUUAGGAUUGUAAAAUUCUUUCAACGGGGACGAUAAUGACGGUACCCGGAGAAGAAGCCCCGGCUAACUUCGUG
rnacentral:rRNA from 1 species